UGACUCUCGGCAAUGGAUAUCUUGGCUCUUGCAUCGAUGAAGAGCGCAGCGAAAUGCGAUACGUGGUGUGAAUUGCAGAAUCCCGUGAACCAUCAAAUCUUUGAACGCAAGUUGCGCCCGAGGCCAUUUGGCUAAGGGCACGUCCGCCUGGGCGUCAA
rnacentral:rRNA from 1 species